rnacentral:rRNA from 1 species
AGAGGCCACUGCUAUCAGCGUCCGACUAAGCCAUGCGAGUCGUGGGCACCCCCUCAUAAGAGGGGGAGACCCGGCGGACGGCUCGGUAACACGUGGCUAACCUACCCUCGGGUCCGGGAUAACCCCGGGAAACUGGGGAUAAUACCGGAUAGGCCUCUGAUACCUGGAAUGGGCGGAGGCUGAAAGCCGAGAGGCGCCCGAGGAUGGGGCUGCGGCCGAUUAGGUAGUUGUCGGUUUAACGGACCGACAAGCCUACGAUCGGUACGGGCCGUGAGAGCGGGAGCCCGGAGAUGGGCUCUGAGACAAGAGCCCAGGCCCUACGGGGCGCAGCAGGCGCGAAACCUUCACAAUGCCCGAAAGGGCGAUGAGGGGACGCUGAGUGCCCUUCGGGGCUGUUCGGGUGCCUAAAAAGCACCCGGAGUAAGGGCUGGGUAAGACCGGUGCCAGCCGCCGCGGUAAUACCGGCAGCCCGAGUGGUGGCCGCGUUUAUUGGGCCUAAAGGGUCCGUAGCCGGUCGGGUAAGUUCCUCGGGAAACCUCGCCGCUCAACGGUGAGGCUUCCGGGGAAUACUGCCCGACUUGGGACCGGGAUGGGCCGGAGGUACUCCCGGGGUAGGGGUGAAAUCCGUUGAUCCC